rnacentral:rRNA from 1 species
UGUUNANUGGGCGCAGCCUGAUGACGCAACGCCGCGUGGAGGAUGAAGGUCUUCGGAUUGUAAACUCCUGUUGCCCGGGACGAAUGUCUUCGACCUAACACGUCGGAGAGUGACGGUACCGGGUGAGGAAGCCCCGGCUAACUCUGUGCCAGCAGCCGCGGUAAUACAGAGGGGGCAAGCGUCGUUCGGAAUUACUGGGCGUAAAGGGCGCGUAGGUGGCCUUCUUAGUCGAACGUGAAAUCCCCGGGCUCAACCCGGGAACUGCGUCCGAUACUGGAAGGCUUGAAUCCGGGAGAGGGAUGCGGAAUUCCAGGUGUAGCGGUGAAAUGCGUAGAUAUCUGGAGGAACACCGGUGGCGAAGGCGGCAUCCUGGACCGGCAUUGACGCUGAGGCGCGAAAGCCAGGGGAGCAAACGGGAUUAGAUACCCCGGUAGUCCUGGCCCUAAACGAUGAAUGCUUGGUGUGGCGGGUAUCGAUCCCUGCCGUGCCGAAGCUAACGCAUUAAGCAUUCCGCCUGGGGAGUACGGUCGCAAGGCUGAAACUCAAAGAAAUUGACGGA